UCCNGAUACAGGAUGCACUGAGUGAUG
rnacentral:piRNA from 1 species